rnacentral:rRNA from 1 species
UUCGGGAGCUUGCACAGGUGCUGCAUGGCUGUCGUCAGCUCGUGUCGUGAGAUGUCGGUUAAGUCCGCUAACGAGCGCAACCCUCGCUGUGUGUUAUAUGUGUCACACGGGACUGCCGGUCUUAAGCCGGAGGAAGGUGGGGAUGAUGUCAAGUCAGCAUGGCCUUUAUAUCCUGGGCUACACACACGCUACAAUGGCCAACACAAUAGGUUGCUAAGCCGCGAGGUGGCGCCAAUCCAUAAAGUUGGUCUCAGUUCAGAUUGUAGGCUGCAACCCGCCUGCAUGAAGAUGGAGUUGCUAGUAACCGCAGGUCAGCUAUACUGCGGUGAAUACGUUCCCGGGGCUU